GAGGAAUUGGCGGGGGAGCACCGCAACGGGAGGAGCGUGCGGUUUAAUUGGAUUCAACACCGGAAAACUCACCAAGGGCGACUGUUACAUGAAGGCCAGGCCGACGACCUUGCCGGAUUUUCAGAGAGGUGGUGCAUGGCCGUCGUCAGUUCGUACCGUAAGGCGUUCUCUUAAGUGAGAUAACGAACGAGACCCUCACCGAUAAUUGCUACUUCUUCCUCCGGGGAGGAGGCACAUUAUCGGGACCGCUGGCGCUAAGCCAGAGGAAGGAGAGGUCAACGGUAGGUCAGUAUGCCCCGAAUCUCUUGGGCUACACGCGCGCUACAAAGGGCGGGACAAUGGGCUCCGACGCCGAGAGGCGGAGGCAAUCCCGAAACCCGUCCGUAGUUCGGAUUGAGGGCUGUAACCCGCCCUCAUGAAGCUGGAUUCCGUAGUAAUCGCGAAUCAACAACUCGCGGUGAAUAUGCCCCUGCUCCUUGCACACACCGC
rnacentral:rRNA from 1 species